AGAGUUUGAUCCUGGCUCAGAUUGAACGCUGGCGGCAUGCCUUACGCAUGCAAGUCGAACGGCAGCACGGGAGCAAUCCUGGUGGCGAGUGGCGAACGGGUGAGUAAUAUAUCGGAACGUGCCCAGUCGUGGGGGAUAACGUAGAGAAAUUUACGCUAAUACCGCAUACGAUCUAAGGAUGAAAGCGGGGGACUCGCAAGGGCCUCGCGCGAUUGGAGCGGCUGAUAUCAGAUUAGGUUGUUGGUGAGGUAAAAGCUCACCAAGCCGACGAUCUGUAGCUGGUUUGAGAGAACGACCAGCCACACUGGGACUGAGACACGGCCCAGACUCCUACGGGAGGCAGCAGUGGGGAAUUUUGGACAAUGGGCGAAAGCCUGAUCCAGCAAUGCCGCGUGCAGGAAGAAGGCCUUCGGGUUG
rnacentral:rRNA from 1 species